GAUCAAUCACUCCAUAUGGUUUGCCUCCUCCAAGGUACCACUCUUUCUAUUUAUAUUGGAAAAUUUUUAAACAGAAGAGGUUAUUGGAGUUCAAAUCCAUUAUUUUUAGGAGACAAAUGCUCCAUUCUACGCUAGAUUAUAGUCAUAUUCUAAUAACUCUUUAAGGCGGAAUAAAUUGGAUAAUUCAGCAUAUUAUAUACAUUGAGCCUUCCUACAGGCCAAGAGGAAGAAUUACAUCAAAUUUGACUAUAUUGACAAGAUCACAAUAUUUAAUGGAGAAAGAUUAUAGAAAUCAUAUAGGCAUAAGCUAAACUUGAGCCACCUUUAACAUGAUGGGUAUGAGGAUAAGUGAUGUGAAGGUGGGAGACAAAAGGUUGGAGGACUUAUUGGAGCAUUGGAGGAAGCCCACCCGCUUCAUAUAAGCAUGUCCCCAAGGCCAAAGGUUUUUGGUCAUGGAAAUCUUACAUUCUAUAUUUUGCUCAAAUCAGAUAUAAGCCUCUGUCCGUUGCCAUUUGCCAACCCAUUGAUCUACCUCUUGGUGACCAUAAAGCUCUUUUAAAUUCUUGGACAGUUUGCAAUAGAAAUCAACGUCUGCAAAUUCAGAACCUAGAUUACAACUGAUUUAUGCUUUUGUCUAAAUUCCCUCACCUGUAUUUGGAGCCAGUAAAAAUAUCAACUAAUAAUAUACAUUUAGGUAAAGUAUGAUGACAUUACUGCUCCAUUCCAGGUUAAAGUGAAACCCAACAAAAAGGCAGAAACAGAUAUCCCACCAGGCAGAUUCUUUUUUUUUUUUUUUUAACCAUGAGAAGAGAUUCUGAGUCUCCACAAAGUCAACAAAUAAAAGUAAGAUCCAAGUGUCAUCUCUUCUUCUUUGAUGCAUGGGAACUUGGCUUCGAGAAUAAAUUCAUCUUGAAAAAUCCAGAUGUCUUGGAAGAUUUCUUUUCUUUAGUGUGUUGGCUUCCAUCUCUACUGGUAUCAACAUCAGACUGAAAGCAUUCUUGUUCAUUUCCAUGGUCUAUAUCUCUCAGCUGCCGAAGCAAUUCCAAGGCAGUUGCCUUUGCUCUAUCGUUUCCAUUGACGGAUAUAUCAACAAGGGAAGGAAUAACACCUUCAACCAUGACCAACUGACAAUAUUGGAUACGCUGAGAGCAUAAAGAAAGAAGAACAGCCACUGCAUGCUCCUGUUCCUCACGACUGCCACUCUCAAGUAGUUCAGCAACUGAAGAAAUAAAUCCAUUUGUUUCAACAACAGCAAUCCUAGCCUUUUCAGUUUCACACAAAUUUUUCAACAGAACCAUACAAUAUCUUGCAAUUCUGCCUUCAUUUAUGAGAGGAACCAACUUUGGGAUGCACUCCAAAGAUAUAAUUUGGGAACAAAUAUCACAGUUUGAGGACAGAUUAUGCAGAAUUUUAAUGGCUCGUUCCUGGAAUUCUUUGCUCUGUGAAUCAAGGAUCUUCAAUACGGGAACAAGAGCACCAGCUGCUGUGAUUUUAGUUCUGCAAUAUGGAUCACCGGACAACACUUCCAGUAUUGCAAGAGUCUCUUCAGUUACUUCAGAGUCCAGGAAAGACACCAGUAGAUUAAAUGAAUCUUCAUGUAAAUAUGAUAAUCCACUUCUGCAUGGAGCAGCACAUAUAUUGAAAGUAAUAGACAUAGAUCCAUGCAAAAGAGAAACAUGAAUGGAACUUAAAGUCAAUUCAGCGAAGUCAAGCCCCAUUUUGCACUAUAAACUGCCAAAUGCCAUGCAAUUUUAACAUGCAAUUUUGUGGCAAUACAACAAUAUACUUCAUGAACAUGAGCAAAGGACAAAAGUCAAAUAUACAACAUUAAUUCAACAUGUUUUAGCAAGUAGAGCUGUUCAAAAUGUGGGUCAAGAUUUAUAAUCUUGGCCUGAUCCCAGCCCAGCCCAACUAUCUAGGCCCAUAUCUUCGACCAAGCCCAGUUAAUACAAUAAAAACUAUAUAAAUAUUAUUCUUUUAUCAAUCAGGCUGGAUGACCCUUAAUAAACACAAAUCCCAACCUGGCCUACUUUAAAUGGGUCUGAGCAAGGGGAAAAAAGCUUUUUAGCAUGCUGAACUGGUGGUUCCCUGGGCUCAUUAGUAAGUCUAUUAGCAUGUUAUUUUCAAUCAUCAUAGAGCAGAUAACUAAGUUCAGCAGUAACAUAUGUUAUUUACUAGUUGGCAAUUUAUCUUCUCAUAGCUCUUCUUUAUUCAGGCCAUUGACUGCCAAUAUAAGGAUUCGUAGCAGUUAAAUAAGAGAGAAAAAAUAAAAGUAACAAUGAUAAGAACUCAUGAUUCCAACACACUGAAGCGUCAGAAGAAAUUGAAGAAUUCCAGUAUAAGUAAUAUCAUGUACAAAGAACAAAUUACCUAUUUUGGCUCACAAAGGCAAGUAACAAUUGAGAUCCAGCUCUCUGAGCUCUUGCAUCAUGUUGCUCACAUGCAUCCUUCAGAAAUCUAAAGAGAGGAUCAACAAAAUUCUCAGAAGACAUAGAAUAACAUGAUUGAUUAUUAUAUUGCAAAUAGCUAUUGAUAUCUUCAACCAUUUUGCAUUGGGAGUCCCAAUUAAGCUCAGAAAGUCUAGUUAAAAACUCUGAGUCUGUCUCAAUUAUGGAUGCAUGAGACUGGAAUUGAAGGCAAUCCUCAGUUUUCCGAGUCAACAUCAAACUAGAUCCAUCUGCAAACCUAGUGCGUGAAGAGUCUGAACUGUAACUAGCAUCUAAAGACCCAAAUGAUAUAUUGCUGAUAUCCAGUGGAAGGUGUAGAUCAUUCAUAGAGCUGCCUAAGCUAGUAAUGGAUGUAGAGGAUACGUCCAAUGAGUGAAACACUUGCACACUUGGAUCAGGAAUGGUGACUCCGUGCUUUUCACACCACCUUGAUAUCAGGUGUUUCAUGGCAGUGUUUGGAGUCAAUGAACAGUGAGGCAGUUUCACUUUUGUUUUUGGACAUGCGUUAUUACCAUCAUCAAACCACUUUUGUAUCCACAUCCUUUCAAAUGUUUGUCCAGAAGCAAUGACAACAGGAUCAUACAUCAAUCUCAUGGAUAUGGGGCACUUAAACUCCUCAGGGGGUGUAUCUCUACUUAGAACAUCAGUUUGCACCUCAUACUGCUGAAUUCCUAUAUCAGACUCUACUUCUUCAACAGAUUGGCUAUAUACAGAAGUAUUGGUAGAGUUUGUCCGUGCAACUGAUCCCUCAUGCUCAGCUUUGGGAUUCUCUAUUUGCUCUUCCAUAAUCAAGUCUCCAUACUUCUUCAACAGAUACAAAAAAUAUUUUAAGAUCUUCUUUUUGGUAGGAUCAGUGUCACCAACUUUAUCCAACAGCUUCUUAAUAGAUCUUUUCUCUAUUAGUAUAGCCUUUGGGGAUGUAAUAUGAAGCCUUGGAGCAGCAACUUGAAGAGCUUUCAUUUCAGAAUAUGCCACAGAAUCAGAUAUAAAAGAGCCAUGCUGAAUCAGUUCACGCACAGCCUUACCAGCCUCUUCAUCAGAAGAGUCCAGCAUAAAUGUUGCUGCAUUUAAAUCAUCAAUAAUUUGAGAUAUCUCAGCAGCCAACAUAGUUGGAACCAUAGUCUGAAUUUGGCCUAAACUUUGCUCAAAAUUGUUCCUUGAUCUUUGACAUCUUGAGAUUAUUACAUCCCCAGUUAUUACCAAAUAUAGUUUACUAGACUCACAGCAGUACCGGAGAAUUUGCCUUGCUUUCUCAAUUGUGCCAUUUAACAAGCAUAGUGCCUGUAUUCCUGAUGCGCAUCGUGGCCGAGCUGCUUCUAUUUCUGGAAAUACACGUCCAAUUCUAUCAACUAAUUUCAUUAAUUCAGUGCAAAUUGAGCGAUGCGCCUUAAAGGAAUAAAGGUAUGGCAGUGUCCCCAUUCAAAGAGAAGAACGCAGGGUCUGCAGAUUAAUUGGCAAUUCAAAUGUCAAAUAAUACCUACUUAAAAGUCAAAUAUAUAACCUAAAAAAUAAGAUAUUAUGAGAAGGAAGAAAAAAUCACGUAAUUUACCAAAGUACGAACAGAAAAAUGUAAUAGCAUUACCAGUUAACCACCAAGACUGAUUAAUUAUCCAAAACAUAAAUACACCAAUACAAAAACAAGGAUUAGGUUAACCCAAUUGACACUAGAUACAUGAACUACAGUAUACAGAGUUCAUCAAAGUUAAUCCAGAAUCUCUGACAUUAAGUGGAUAAGAAUUGUUUAUAUUAACUUUUUGGGGAGUGAAAAUCAUGAGAAACCAGACGGCAAAAGAUCUGCAGAAAACCCAUGCUGAAAGCAGCACUCUUUAUUGACCAUUUCAAGAUAAUUCUCAAGAGUUGAAACUACCAACUUUGAAGGAAUCAUUAUUACAUUCCAAUUGGAAACAAAUUUUUAGUUUUCCAUGGACCAGGUGAUGUCUAGGUACCAUGUCCAUCAUCUCAUACACUUCCCCCUCAAUUCCAAAGCAUUUGAACAACCACCACAACAAUAAUCAAGUAUAUACACAGUGUUAAAUUGAAUCUUCCUGAUUAGUUGACUAUAGGGGUAGAUUUACUAGACUAUGGGGCAUAUUUUAAGACCCUUUUCAGCAAAAAAGAAUCAAUUAGCCAACUAGCACACUCAUACAUAAAAAUGUGAGCAUUCUUAGAAUUUUGCUGGAAGCAACCCUUUGUGUUUUUGUCCAACGCAUAACAUUUGGAAGACAAUAAAAGAUUUCUUUGAGUCGAUCUUACUAACUAGUAACUACCAUAAUUAAAGACCACAAAAGCACAAGAAAAGGAGGAGAGAAGAAGAAUAAGAAUGAAAAGGCUUCACCUAGUAAUGUGGAAACAAAAACAAUAAGAAGAUGAAGAAGAAGCUCCCUUCACUGCUGAUAAGGAAGCUGAAAAACACAACCUCUCUCUCUCUUUGUUAGCACUAGAGCGUCCAAGCUAGCCAAAGCCAAAUUCUUGAUCACAAAAUUUUUCUCAUAUUCGUCAAUGAAUACAAAAUUCUUACAAUACCGUUAUCAUUGAAGCCACCAGCCAGCUUAGCUCUAAAACAAACAGAACACCAGCCAAAGCGAACCAAUUACAAGCAAAAUUCAAGUUGCCGAAGCAAUAACCCAAGAGAAUCCUUGUAGAUGAUGAUGAUGAUGAACAACACACAGAAUCUGUGCACAUAAGUCUUCUUUAUAUCUUCCCGUAUAUAACACAAACCCUAAACCCAGAAAUGAUUUUCCGCUGUAAGAACCAGAAGCAGAAAGAAUUCAGGCUUAGCCCUUCAAGAACAUGAAAGCAGACAACCCAAAAAGGAAAAAGAAACAGCCCUUGCAAAAAGAAAAGGAAAACCAACAACAGCGAGAGAAAGUUUAUCUAAUAAUUUAGACUAAAGCGAAAGAGAGACAAAGAAAGACCCGUCAACUAGCUAAUAUGCAGUGCAACUUAAUACAGGUUCUUAGCCUGGUAAUAAUAAAAAUAUCAGAUUUUUCUUGGUCCGCCAUGAAGAAAGUGAAAUGGGAAAGGCAAAAGAAACCAUCGCACAGCGGGCGUCCGUCCCUCUCAAUCUUCACGACAAAACCAUUUUUAA
rnacentral:misc_RNA from 1 species